GCGCUCGUUCCUCCGCGGUGACAAUGGAUAAUGCCAAACGCGCAAGUGACGGCGACAGGUUUCGAACGUACAACUAACUACAAGGUACCCAGCCUGAGACAGUAUGCUGCUUUUCCCCUCCUCCUCCUCUCCCUCCUACCAGGGAGGGAACUAACUUAACCCUGUGUGCGCCUGACACUCCCUAGAGAAGCUGGGAUCGACUAGGAAACCGCAGGCAGCGGCUCCCGGGGGCGAGAGCUUUGUUCACGUGCGUUUCCAGUGGGUGUGUUGCUGUCUAGGGGCACUCGCGUGGCAAGACGCCCGUGGCUGGCUUCCAGCGCCCAAGAUUCAAGGAAGGGAAGGAGCCCUAGCGUUUCAUCCGGACCAGACCCAGCCCUCGGAGUCUAUUUUUUGCCUCCAGUUACCGGAUUUAUUGAAGUUGCCAGCGAAGUUGGUUUUAUUCCUUUACUUCUCUGCUCUCCGCCCCCGUCCACAUCCCCCAACCCUGUAUUAUUUCCUGUCCUAGCUGCGCUUUAAAGAUUCGGAACUUUUCACUCGUUCUAGCUACAGAUUUUAACUGUGUUCCGUGUGCGAGACGAAUUGUGGAGGGCACCCACCCACCCAUGCCAAGUGUAAAUGAAACCGCAAGAAAAGCUGCCUCCCACUCACCCAUCCAGUGUCCGAGUAAGCCUAAUGACACACAUUCACAUAACUAAGAAGACACGGGAAGAUAGGGGUGCGGAGGACGGAGUUUGAUGUGUGAAUGGGAAAUGGAGAGAGGGGACAGCGCGCGCGAGAGAAACAGCGCGAGCCUGAGCCUUAGAAUGGAAUAAACGGGAAACACACACAAGAAUGACGAUGCAAAAAAUGUAUCUAAGUCCCAACAUUGACAGCAGAGGGUCAGCUUUAAGCGCCUACAUUUUGAUCCGCGAAAUUUCCCAGCUUUUUUGGAGGCG
rnacentral:lncRNA from 10 species